rnacentral:rRNA from 1 species
GUCGAGGGGCAGCGGGGAGGAAGCUUGCUUUCUCCGCCGGCGACCGGCGCACGGGUGAGUAACACGUAUGCAACCUGCCCCUGUCAGGGGGACAACCCGCCGAAAGGCGGGCUAAACCCGCGUACAUGCCACCGGGGCAUCCCGGAGGCAGGAAAGGCUUCGGCCGGACAGGGAUGGGCAUGCGGCGCAUUAGGCAGUAGGCGGGGUAACGGCCCACCUAACCGACGAUGCGUAGGGGUUCUGAGAGGAAGGUCCCCCACACUGGUACUGAGACACGGACCAGACUCCUACGGGAGGCAGCAGUGAGGAAUAUUGGUCAAUGGUCGGGAGACUGAACCAGCCAAGCCGCGUGAGGGAGGAAGGUACAGAGUAUCGUAAACCUCUUUUGUCAGGGAACAAAGGCGGGGACGUGUCCCCGGAUGAGUGUACCUGAAGAAAAAGCAUCGGCUAACUCCGUGCCAGCAGCCGCGGUAAUACGGAGGAUGCGAGCGUUAUCCGGAUUUAUUGGGUUUAAAGGGUGCGCAGGCGGUCUGUUAAGUCAGCGGUCAAAGCCCGGGGCUCAACCCCGGCCCGCCGUUGAAACUGGCAGUCUCGAGUUGGAGAGAAGUAUGCGGAAUGCGCGGUGUAGCGGUGAAAUGCAUGGAUAUCGCGCAGAACUCCGAUUGCGAAGGCAGCAUGCCGGCUCCACACUGACGCUGAGGCACGAAAGCGUGGGUAUCGAACAGGAUUAGAUACCCUGGUAGUCCACGCUGUAAACGAUGAAUACUAGGUGUAGGGGGUAUCGACUCCCU